rnacentral:lncRNA from 1 species
CCCGAUGCAGUUGAGUUAAAAAUCCUAAAAGACAACAACCAAUAGAAAAUUUUGUUGAAUAAAAUUGACUUAAUACCCUAAAAUUUUGCAUUGGGUAUAUCUUCAUAGAACAGUAGGAGUCUCAGACCCUUGUCCUAUGGAUAAUUCAGUUAAAAUUUGGCAGAUACGAUGUUUGACAUCAUUGAAUGAUUAAAACUUUUCCAAUCCAGUGCAUAUGAAAUCGAUUUAUAGGCUAAACUUAAAAUUCCGAAUUCCAUUGCUGAAUCUUGAGAAUGGGUAUCUUAAUGGGACAAUAUAUGUGCAUAUGAACAUUAGCUCAUACCUACACACAGUGUACACUGUAAAUUUGAAGAAUAUUGAAUACAUGCCGUUGUCACCCACAAGAAACGCAGCUUAGAUUUAGGGUACUUUCAGGAAGUUAUCCCUAGCAGUGAAGAUCUAGAAUGGACUAACUAUAUGAUUUCUUAAUAUGCAACUUACCUUUUAAAGGCAACUUUCAAACUAGCACAUACAUCAUCUAAUAACUAAGUAAGAGAACAGAAGUAAAUGAUAUUAAAUGUUAUAGUGGGUAGAGGUUUUGGAACACUAAAGAAUACAGCUAUACUGAAUUUAAACAAUUUGAGUAUGUUGGCCCCCACUGUUUCUAAACCUGUAUUCUGAUGAUGGAAACGUCAUUGAUCGGUAUGUAUUGUAGGCCCAAAAAAGAGUUCAAGAGUCUACUUGAAAUAGUAUGAAGUUGCUUCAUUCUCUUCUCUUUGAAUUGCAAAAUCUUACCUUCAGAGAAAUCUAAAGGUACUUCUGCCAAUCAUUCCAAGUAAGCAUAGCUGUUCAUUCAUAAAUGCAGCAUAUGGUGAGAUUUAGUGUUGGAUAGAUAUUGCUUGGGAUUCUUAAUAAUGGGGCAUGAAGGUUAUUGGUCUUUACCUUGACCAAGCUAAUGGAACACCUCUCAAAAAAGCCUUGAGUAAAUGAUCAACAAACAGGACAAAAGAAGGGCUCCAGUAAAUAAUGAAGACUUGAGCCAGAGCCAGACAGAAGUCAUCAUAUCCUGAAGUUAAAUCUCUCCAACUCGUCAAUAUAUUUCCAUAUCUGGUUUUACUUGCAUGACAUUUGAUUUGUUUCAUUUAAUUUACUCUCUCUAUUCUGCAAAAAGAGUCUCAUAUUCCUUUUCUUUUCCAAUAAAAGAGUCAUCUUUUUAUUGAUAGCGGUAUAAUAUGACACAAUAUCCUCAAGUCUAUUAGCAUAAUUUCAUUAACAUGCCACCACUACUAAUCGAACAACUUAUUAUUUUAUGUGAUAAACAUGGAGCAAAAUUAUAACUUUAAUAUUAAUAAAUAUUGCUAGUAGGAAUCUUUUUGUGGAAUGGAGGCAGUAUUAUCAAGCUUAGUUCAAUUUUCUAUCAAAAUUAAUAUUCUAAAAUUCCCGCCUAAAUCCGCUUAAGUGGGAUUAAGCGCUAGGUGGGUCCUCAACCGCCUACAUUUGGUUGGGCGCCUAGGCAGAAUCAUACCUCUACAUCAUCGAUUUAAUAAAGGCUUUGAAGAAUUGAAGGUAUAAUUGUCAAGUCUUAAAAAAAAUUAGUAAUUUUUCAUGUAAAAUUUUAAAAAUUUACUUAUACUAUGUGUUUUGUAUAGUAUAACAAAUAUAUAAUAAAAAAAUAAAAAAAUCAAAUUG